UACGGGGGGGCGAGCGUUGUUCGGAAUCACUGGGCGUAAAGGGCGCGUAGGCGGCCCGCACAAGUCUGCGGUGAAAACCCCCGGCUUAACCGGGGGCCGGCCGUGGAAACUGUCGGGCUAGAGGCCGGGAGAGGGCAGCGGAAUUCCCGGUGUAGCGGUGGAAUGCGUAGAGAUCGGGAAGAAUACCCGUGGCGAAGGCGGCCGACUGGGCCGGAUCCGACGCUGAUGCGCGAAAGCAUGGGGAGCAAACAGG
rnacentral:rRNA from 1 species